rnacentral:rRNA from 1 species
GACGAACGCUGGCGGCGUGCUUAACACAUGCAAGUCGAACGGAAAGGCCCCUUUGGGGGUACUCGAGUGGCGAACGGGUGAGUAACACGUGAGUAACCUGCCCUUGACUUCGGGAUAACUUCAGGAAACUGGGGCUAAUACCGGAUAGGAAUCCUUGCUGCAUGGUGGGGGUUGGAAAGCUUCGGCGGUUUUGGAUGGACUCGCGGCUUAUCAGCUUGUUGGUGGGGUAGUGGCUUACCAAGGCUUUGACGGGUAGCCGGCCUGAGAGGGCGACCGGCCACAUUGGGACUGAGAUACGGCCCAGACUCCUACGGGGGCAGCGGUGGGGAAUAUUGCACAAUGGGCGGAAGCCUGAUGCAGCAACGCCGCGUGCGGGAUGACGGCCUUCGGGUUGUAAACCGCUUUCAGCAGGGGCGAAGCUUGUGGUGACGGUACCUGCAGAAGAAGCACCGGCUAACUACGUG